rnacentral:tRNA from 1 species
GGAGAGGUGCGAGAGUGGCCGAAUCGGCGUGACUGGAAAUCACGCGUGCGGGUAUCCCCCGCACCGUGGGUUCGAAUCCCACCCUCUCCGCCA